UUUAACUUUGGUUCUGUUCUUUAAAUUCAAUAGCUUCCUUGCUUUUUAAUGUCCAUCUAUUCCACGCACAUACACGGUUUCUCAAUUUCAAAGGCACCAAGACUCCUUUUUUUUUUUUUUUUACUAUAAAUAUUCUGCAAAAGACAAAUUGUUGACACAUAUUUUAAAAGUAGAAAACCAUUCUCCAUCUUUAAUUACGUUCAAGGAAGCCGAGAAGUUUGCGAAUUGAAAUAUUCUGUUGGAUUAUUCUUUCAAAAAUUUGUUGAUCUGACGAGGUAGGAUAUUAUGUGCAAGUUCUUCCGUCCUUUCAAUAUUAUAAUUUUUGACGUGAUUUAUUUCAUGAAAUGCUAAUUGAGAAAUGAAAUGUGAGAUCUCCUUCGGGUCUUCUCAAAUAUGCUAGAGUAUUCGAUUGAUCACCAAUUGCUCUUGAUGAAAUGACGGUAUGGAAUGUUGUAAAUUCAUGUUUUAAAAGUUAUUAUAUUGUUUGGACGCACGUAUCCGACUGAGUAUAAAUUACUCAUUCCUUCAAUUUUAAAAUUUCAGGUUAGAUCGGUCGACGUGGAUGGUGGCUGAGCGAUGCGCAGGUUGCCAAGUAAAGAAAUUUUCAAGAAAACAUUUAAAAUAAUUCUUCUAGGACAUUUUGUGUUUCCAUCGAUUUCCAUUUAACAUUUCAUAUUACUUGACGAUAUACGCCUCAAAUUUUAUCGAUUUAAACUUGAGGUGUUACCGAUAUCAUUUCAUAAACAUACAUCAAGUGGAAAUAUAAAUUGGAACUUUAAAACUCCUAAUUUAUUUAAUACUCAAAGGCUAAAUCAAAUAAAUGUAUCGUCAGGCAAUAUGAAACGUUAAAUGGAAAUCAAUGGAAACACAAAAUGUCCUAGUAGAAUUAUUUUUAAAUGUUUUCUUGAAAAUUCUUUACUUGGCAACCCGCGCACCGCUCAGCCACCAUCCACGUCGACCGAUCCAACCUGAAAUGUUAAAAUUGAAGGAAUGAGUAAUUUAUACUCUAUAGGAUACGUGCAUCCAAACAAUAUAAUAAGUUUUAAAACAUGAAUUUACAACAUUCCAUACCAUCAUUUCAUCAAGAGCAAUCGGUGAUCAAUCGAAUACUCUAAAAUAUUUGAGAAGACCUGAAGGAGAUCUCACAUUUCAUUUCACUUCAUAGAGACCCGCAGGUCAAUUAGCAUUUCAUGAAAUAAAUCACAUCAAAAAUUAUAAUAUUGAAAUGACGAUACAACUUAUACAUAGUAUCCUACCUUAUCAAAUAAAUGUUGAAAGAAAUCCAAGAGUCACGUUCCAAUUGUUUUCUUUUAUUUCCUGCUUACGAAUUGUUGUCUUGUAUGGGUACGUAAUAGAUGAAAAUAAAGAGGCAAGAGAAUUAUAGUUUUGGUAGAAUAUGAAUAUAAUAGGGGAUUUCUGUUGAACUUAAAGAAUGAAAUCAAAAUAAAGGAAAUGGG
rnacentral:lncRNA from 1 species